rnacentral:lncRNA from 1 species
AGGUCUUGAUGGUGGUCAAUGGAGAUGAAGAAGAAGAAGGUGCACAUGUUAACCCAAUUACAUGUGCCAAACUGCGGGCCACGAUAGGAGCCCUAGUUUAGACCGUCGCAUAACGACAAGCGGAGACACCUUAGAGAAGGUGUGAGGGCCAUGAAAGGAGCCCAUUUCAGAACGCUCUAGAAAGCGUGUGCUGAAGAAGCAAGAUGACAAUUGCCCACAUAAAUGGCAAAG